rnacentral:rRNA from 1 species
CGCGGCCUAUCAGCUUGUUGGCGGGGUAACGGCCCACCAAGGCAACGACGGGUAGCUGGUUUGAGAGAACGAUCAGCCACACUGGAACUGAGACACGGUCCAGACUUCUACGGAAGGCAGCAGUAGGGAAUCUUGCGCAGUGGGCGAAAGCCUGACGCAGCGACGCCGCGUGCGGGAUGACGGCCCUAGUGGUUGUAAACCGCUUUCAGCAGGGACGAAAAUGACGGUACCUGCAGAAGAAGUCCCGGCUAACUACGUGCCAGCAGCCGCGGUAAUACGUAGGGGACAAGCGUUGUCCGGAUUCAUUGGGCGUAAAGAGCUCGUAGGCGGUUCAGUAAGUUGGGUGUGAAAGCUCCGGGCUCAACCCGGAGAGGCCACUCAAUACUGCUGUGACUAGAGUCCAGUAGAGGAGCGUGGAACUCCUGGUGUAGCGGUGAAAUGCGCAGAUAUCAGGAAGAACACCGGCAGCGAAGGCGGCGCUCUGGGCUGGUACUGACGCUGAGGACCGAAAGCAUGGGUAGCAAACAGGAUUAGAUACCCUGGUAGUCCAUGCCGUAAGCGUUGGGCACUAGGUGUGGGGAGGAAUCAACCCUCUCCGUGCCGUAGCUAACGCAUUAAGUGCCCCGCCUGGGGAGUACGG